rnacentral:misc_RNA from 1 species
UGGUUCUGGCAUCGAUGAAGAACGCAGCGAAAUGCGAUACGUAAUGUGAAUUGCAGAAUUCAACGAAUCAUCGAAUUUUUGAACGCAUAUUGCGCCCAUUGGUAACCCGAUGGGCAUGCCUGUUCGAGCGUCAUUUCAACUCUCAAGUACUGUUUUGCUUGGUGUUGGGGCUUUCUGUAGUACUCUAUACUACAGACCCUGAAAGACAUUGGCGGUACUGUUAUAGACCUAAACGUAGUACAACUACUGUUCGUUUCAGGCGCUGUAAUCGUUUACUCGGCCACUAAAUACGAUUUUACAUCACCAAAAGUUGACCUCGGAUCAGGUAGGAAUACCCGCUGA